AACUGCGAAGUGGAGCAAAUCCCUAAAAGACCAUCUCAGUUCGGAUUGCAGGCUGNAACCCGACUACAUGAAGCUGGAAUCGCUAGUAAUCGCGGAUCAGAAUGCCGCGGUGAAUACGUUCCCGGGUCUUGUACACACCGCCCGUCACACCAUGGGAGUCGGAAAUGCCCGAAGCCUGUGAGCUAACUUUAUAAGGAGCAGCAGUCGAAGGUAGAAUCAAUGAUUGGGGUGAAGUCGUAACAAGGUAUC
rnacentral:rRNA from 1 species